AAGGGCUACUAAACUGGUUCAUGGAUUGCAGGAUAAAACUUACCAGGAAAGGUUAAAGGAUCUUAACAUGUAUAGCUUGGAGGAAAGAUGAGACGGGGGAUAUGAUAGAAACAUUUAAAUACACAAAAGGAAUCAACACAGUAAAGAAAGAGACUAUAUUUAAAAGAAGAAAAACUACCACAACAAGAGGACAUAGUCUUAAAUUAGAGGGACAAAGGUUUAAAAAUAAU